AAGUCUGAUGGAGCAACGCCGCGUGAGUGAAGAAGGGUUUCGGCUCGUAAAGCUCUGUUGGUAGUGAAGAAAGAUAGAGGUAGUAACUGGCCUUUAUUUGACGGUAAUUACUUAGAAAGUCACGGCUAACUACGUGCCAGCAGCCGCGGUAAUACGUAGGUGGCAAGCGUUGUCCGGAUUUAUUGGGCGUAAAGCGAGUGCAGGCGGUUCAAUAAGUCUGAUGUGAAAGCCUUCGGCUCAACCGGAGAAUUGCAUCAGAAACUGUUGAACUCGAGUGCAGAAGAGGAGAGUGGAACUCCAUGUGUAGCGGUGGAAUGCGUAGAUAUAUGGAAGAACACCAGUGGCGAAAGGCGGCUCUCUGGUCUGCAACUGACGCUGAGGCUCGAAAGCAUGGGUAGCGAACAGGAUUAGAUACCCUGGUAGUCCAUGCCGUAAACGAUGAGUGCUAAGUGUUGGGAGGUUUCCGCCUCUCAGUGCUGCAGCUAACGCAUUAAGCACUCCGCCUGGGGAGUACGUCCGCAAGGUUGAAACUCAAAGGAAUUGACGGGGGCCCGCACAAGCGGUGGAGCAUGUGGUUUAAUUCGAAGCAACGCGAAGAACCUUACCAGGUCUUGACAUCCAGUGCAAACCUAAGAGAUUAGGUGUUCCCUUCGGGGACGCU
rnacentral:rRNA from 1 species